GCUCCCAUAGCUCAGGAGGAUAGAGCACAGGUUUCCUAAACCUGGUGUCGCGUGUUCGAAUCGCGCUGGGAGCA
rnacentral:tRNA from 1 species